rnacentral:rRNA from 1 species
CAGUAGCCGCGGUAAUACGAAGGGUGCAAGCGUUACUCGGAAUUACUGGGCGUAAAGCGUGCGUAGGUGGUGGUUUAAGUCCGUUGUGAAAGCCCUGGGCUCAACCUGGGAAUUGCAGUGGGUACUGGGUCACUAGAGUGUGGUAGAGGAUAGUGGAAUUUCCGGUGUAGCAGUGAAAUGCGUAGAGAUCGGAAGGAACAUCUGUGGCGAAGGCGACUAUCUGGGCCAACACUGACACUGAGGCACGAAAGCGUGGGGAGCAAACAGGAUUAGAGACCCCCGUAGUCCCUGUCUCUUAUAC